rnacentral:rRNA from 1 species
GACGAACGCUGGCGGCGUGCUUAACACAUGCAAGUCGAACGAUGAAAGCGGAGCUUGCUCCGCUGGAUUAGUGGCGAACGGGUGAGUAACACGUGGGCAACCUGCCCCAGACUCUGGGAUAACUCCUCGAAAGAGGUGCUAAUACCGGAUACGAACUCCUUGGGCAUCCUUGGAGUUGGAAAGUUUUUCGGUCUGGGAUGGGCCCGCGGCCUAUCAGCUUGUUGGUGGGGUAGUGGCCCACCAAGGCGACGACGGGUAGCCGGCCUGAGAGGGCGACCGGCCACACUGGGACUGAGACACGGCCCAGACUCCUACGGGAGGCAGCAGUGGGAAAUAUUGCGCAAUGGGCGAAAGCCUGACGCAGCGACGCCGCGUGAGGGAUGACGGCCUUCGGGUUGUAAACCUCUUUCAGCAGGGAAGAAGCGAAAGUGACGGUACCUGCAGAAAAAGCACCGGCUAACUACGUGCCAGCAGCAGCCGCGG